AACGAACGCUGGCGGCAGGCCUAACACAUGCAAGUCGAGCGAGACCUUCGGGGCUAGCGGCGGACGGGUGAGUAACGCGUAGGAACGUGCACUUUGCUUCGGAAUCGCCCCUGGAAACUGGGAGUAAUACCGAAUGUGCCCUACGGAGGAAAGAUCUAUCGGCAGAGGAUCGGCCCGCGUUGGAUUAGGUAGUUGGUGGGGUUAUGGCCUACCAAGACGACGAUCCAUAGCUGGAUUGAGAGGAUGAUCAGGCACCCUGGGGCUGAGACACGGCCCAGACUCCUACGGGAGGCAGCAGUUGGGAAGCUUAGACAAUGGGGGAAACCCGGAUCUAGCCAUGCCGCGUGGGCGAUGAAGGCCUUAGGGUUGUAAAGCUCUUUCACCGGGGAAGAGAAUGACGGUACCCGGAGAAGAAGCCCCGGCUAACUCCGUGCCAGCCGCCGCCGUAAUAC
rnacentral:rRNA from 1 species